CAGUAGCCGCGGGAAUACGUAGGGUGCGAGCGUUAAUCGGAAUUACUGGGCGUAAAGCGUGCGCAGGCGGUUUUGUAAGACAGGCGUGAAAUCCCCGGGCUCAACCUGGGAAUGGCGCUUGUGACUGCAAAGCUAGAGUGCGGCAGAGGGGGAUGGAAUUCCGCGUGUAGCAGUGAAAUGCGUAGAUAUGCGGAGGAACACCGAUGGCGAAGGCAAUCCCCUGGGCCUGCACUGACGCUCAUGCACGAAAGCGUGGGGAGCAAACAGGAUUAGAUACCCGGGUAGUCCCUGUCUCUUAUAC
rnacentral:rRNA from 1 species